CAGGCACCCGGAGGAGCCCUUCAUUUGGGCAGAUGUUUUCUGGAAUUCUUCCACAGGGAAAAAAAUUAUUUGUCAGUUUCAAAUUAUUCAAGGAAGUUUUUUUGUUGUUUUGUUUUGAUGGAGACACAUGUAAAGUAUAGCGGAGAGAAAGCAAUUUCUCCAGGAUCUUUAAGAGCAAAGCAGAAUUCCCACAUUUUGUAAGGAUAGACUGGUCGUAGGUAUCUGCAAUUGGAGAUGUCACGAUGAGUUCUACUCUGAAAUAAGUAAAGAUUUUCAAAGUUGACAACCCAAACUCUUCAGUAAGGGAUGGGAACAAUUUGACUCCUAAGGUCGAUAAAAGUUGAGAAACCUUCUCAAAACCCAAUUUACACCAAACUUUAAGAUGCAGAUAAGUUGUGAACAAUUGCAGUACAUUAAGGGGGAGCAAAAAUUACAGGCUGCACUGGGAAAAGUAAUGAGUAUGGUUGUGAAUAGUCAUUUUCCAGCCACGACCACAGUGGAAGAUUUGGUAAAAAUCAGAAUUACAGCCAUGUGAGACUACAAAAUAGGAUUUUAAGUUAGGUUCUUCCACACUGUAGGUGCUCUCAGGGUAGCUGCAGCUAUGCAAGCUGGUCUUCUCUUCCAAAUGUGGGCAUUGAGGAGCAAUUGGAAUAAUUGUAUUAAAGUCAAAGGCACUGCUAUAGGCAGUGUCCAAAAUAAAUUUUGUAUUGAUGGUGUUUAUACUCUCCAACUGAGACAAUUCAAGGUGUGUCUGCUGGUGUAAGAUCAUUCUCGUUUCGUUCAAAAGUCUGGUGUAAUUCUCUUGAAAUAACUGAUUGCGGUAGUUGUUACCUGAAUGCCCAAGUAUUUAAUAUAGUCCUCCCUCUAGUUGAAAAACAACCUCUACCGAAUAGAUAUGACUUGUAUAUAUCACUAAUAGCAUAGACUAUGGUUUUUUCACAAUAUUUUUAUAAUGGGAAACUAAACUACAGGGAGUGCAGAAUUAUUAGGCAAAUGAG